AGUAACACGUGGGCAACCUGCCUUANAGAGGGGAUAGCCUUCCGAAAGGAAGAUUAAUACCGCAUAUUAUGAUUUUUCUGCAUGGGAAAGUCAUGAAAGGAGCAAUCCGCUGUAAGAUGGGCCCGUGGCGCAUUAGCUAGUUGGUGAGGUAAGGGCUCACCAAGGCGACGAUGCGUAGCCGACCUGAGAGGGUGAUCGGCCACAUUGGGACUGAGACACGGCCCAGACUCCUACGGGAGGCAGCAUG
rnacentral:rRNA from 1 species